rnacentral:rRNA from 1 species
UACGUUCCCGGGCCUUGUACACACCGCCCGUCACGCCACGAAAGUCGGUAACGCCCGAAGCCGGUGGCCCAACCCUUGUGGAGGGAGCCGUCGAAGGCGGGAUCGGCGAUUGGGACG